GACGAACACUGGCGGCGUGCUUAACACAUGCAAGUCGAACGAAGUGGCGAACGGGUGAGUAACGCGUAAUCAACCUGCCCUUCAGAGGGGGACAACAGUUGGAAACGACUGUUAAUACCGCAUACUGAAGGAGGGGAUUGCGUGUGAUUAGCUAGUUGGAGGGGUAACGGCCCACCAAGGCGAUGAUCAGUAGCCGGUCUUCGAGGAUGAACGGCCACCAUGGGACGGAGGCACGGCCCAGACCUCUACGGGACGGAGCAGUUGGGAAUCUUCCGCAAUUGACGAAAUUCUGUCUGAGCAACGCCGCUUGGUUGAUGACGGCCUUCGGGUUGUAAAGCUCUGUUAAUCGGGACGCGGUACCUGAAUAGAAAGCCACGGCUAACUACGUGCCAGCAGCCGCGGUAAUAC
rnacentral:rRNA from 1 species